GAUUCACACUAUGUUAAUAUGACUAUGAGUAGAACGGGCACCCAGAUGGGUCACACCGCUCAACCUGAUAAUGAACCAAUAUAUGAAAACUGAUGAGCAGAUAUCUGUCCAGGUUUAGGAAGUACACAGCUACACUACCGUUCAAAAGUUUGGGGUCACUUGCAAAUUUCUUUGUUUUUGUUUAGUGAUUUAUUUUCUACAUUUUACAACAAUACUGGGGAUUUCAAAACUAUAAAAUAACACAUAUGGAAUUAGGCAAUUACAUAACAACAACAAAAACAACAGUUAGUUGUUAUUUUAAGACACAGAGGUCAUCCUUUCUGUAAUAGUUCUUGCAAGAACAGUAUUGUCAAGUGCAUUUGCAAAAUCCAUCAAGCACCAUAAUGAAACUGGCUCUCAUAAAGACCAUCCCAGAAGGGCGAGCAGUGUUAUGAAGUCUUUAUAGAACAUAAGUAGCAGAUACAUCUUAUCAUUAACUGUUCAAAUGAGAUUAAUGCUUUUUUGGACGCCUUCAGCAUUCCUUUACAAUGUAGAAAGAAAUAAAAAUCAGGAACGAUCAUGGAGUAAGAAAGUGCCCCCAAACUUUUGAACGGUAGUGUAUUUGAGGAUAAUGAGGGAUUAAUGUUUUCCAGAGGACCCUGAGGAUGUGGAAGAGGAUGUGCAUAUUUGGUUAAUCAUUGACUAAAAUACACAAGGACAUGGAAGAGACAGUGCAUAUUUGGUUUAAAUUUGACUAACUUACACAGAUUAGGCGACAAUUUAAAAAGAAAAAAAGAAUGCAUUCCCACAUUUCUGAAUAACAGCUGUAAAGAAGAUUUUGUAUUUCCUAAGUAUUUCUGUGUUAAUAAUUAAAGUGUGAACAGGAUGCGUUAAAGGAUGUGCAUCUGAUGGAUCAGAAUUAAAUGUUUUUUCUUGUACUUUCUUGUACAAAUAGGAUACAGCUUCAAAAACAUUUAUAUAGUAAAUUGUUGUGAGCUUAAUAAAUUGUAAUUCUUUUUGUAAUUUUAACUGUAUUUAACAUGAA